GUCCACGCCGUAAACGAUGCUAACUCGUUUUUGGGGCUUCGGCUUCAGAGACUAAGCGAAAGUGAUAAGUUAGCCACCUGGGGGAGUACGUUCGCAAGAAUGAAACUCAAAUGAAUUGACGGGGGCCCGCACAAGCGGUGGAGCAUGUGGUUUAAUUCGAUGCAACGCGAAGAACCUUACCUGGUCUUGACAUAGUAAGAACUUUCCAGAGAUGGAUUGGUGCCUUCGGGAACUUACAUACAGGUGCUGCAUGGCUGUCGU
rnacentral:rRNA from 1 species